rnacentral:rRNA from 1 species
AACGUAGGUGGCGAGCGUUAUCCGGAUUUACUGGGCGUAAAGGGCGCGUAGGCGGCAAUUCAAGUCAGCUGUGAAAUCUCCGGGCUUAACUCGGAACGGUCAGCUGAUACUGUUUUGCUAGAGUGCAGAAGGGGCAAUCGGAAUUCUUGGUGUAGCGGUGAAAUGCGUAGAUAUCAAGAGGAACACCUGAGGUGAAGACGGGUUGCUGGGCUGACACUGACGCUGAUGCGCGAAAGCCAGGGGAGCAAACGGG